CAGCCGCCACGGUAAUACGGAGAGCGCGAGCGUUACCCGGAUUUACUGGGCGUAAAGGGCGUGUAGGCGGCCUGGGGCGUCCCAUGUGAAAGGCCACGGCUCAACCGUGGAGGAGCGUGGGAUACGCUCAGGCUAGAGGGUGGGAGAGGGUGGUGGAAUUCCCGGAGUAGCGGUGAAAUGCGCAGAUACCGGGAGGAACGCCGAUGGCGAAGGCAGCCACCUGGUCCACUUCUGACGCUGAGGCGCGAAAGCGUGGGGAGCAAACCGGAUUAGAUACCCCCGUAGUCCCUGUCUCUUAUAC
rnacentral:rRNA from 1 species